AGGUGACUGGGUCAGUGUCCUGAAACC
rnacentral:piRNA from 1 species